GCGGAUCUGUUGUGUCAUGGCGCUCACCAGUCCUGUGCACAAGGUGCAGGAGGUUUGAAAUAUUUUACUUUUUUGGCUUUUCUGCAAACAUUUUCAGUGGUGACAUUCGAAUUGGUUCGUUGAAAGAUCGAUAAGCGCAUCAGGAAUGGAAUAAAUGUCAUAACUAUACUCUACUAGACAAAACUUCCUUGCUCUUACCCAGCGGCCCAAGCACGCUGAACGUUACAUCGAACCUGCGUUGACCGUGGUUUAGACAUUCUUGUUGUGCUCACUGGCAUGUGUGUUCUCGUGCUCUUCUGCGACACGCCGGUCGUCCCAGCAUCUGACACAAGUGACAAUACACCCUCGACUGCAUGCAAACUGUAUGCCACAAUUAGGUUUUCUGCCUGGACACUCCUCGUGAAAGAGGGAUGGACAACCUAAACAUUGAAUAAUGCCAACAGCACCGGCACAAAGCAGAGGCUGCCUGCACAAGCAAUGAACAGCGUAAGCGAAGUCUUUUGGUCGCACUUGAGAAACAAUAAAAUUUAUUAUGGGAAAGUCUUUUGUCAUUCCCUUUAGAAUGCAGUUUAGUAAAUGGGUCCUCAUUGACUGUUGUCAGAAGCUUACAGAGGUAAGAUCUUU